AGGGUUCAAGUCCNUCUAUCCCCU
rnacentral:tRNA from 1 species